UUCGGUUUGACAAAAAACACGGGAAUCAAAUCUUGAAACAGCAGGCCGGUACGUUUUAAGAGCGAAAAGCUUCUGACUAUGAACUACUCAUGAAUCAGAGUCUGGGCUUAAGCAGCGAUGAAAGCCUUCUUCCCGCCUCCGGUGGUUCCAGCUGGAACGACCUUCAGGACAUUGAAUCUCACAGUUUUCGACAGGGGCCUGUUUCAGGAACAAGCAAUAUACUUCAGAAACAAAAGAAAAUAGCACUUGCAGUAAUCAAGAGGAUGCAGUGGAAUAGCACAGGCAUAUAACAGUAGAACACCAGGCUAAAACUAUUAUUUGAAUACCAAGUCAUCCAAGAGUACAAGCUUUACCUGCACUGGCCAAUGAUGACAUGGUCGCCUUCCUUGACACGGAAGCAGGGGGAGAUGUGAGCUGGGAUGUUGGAGUGCCUCUUCUCAUACCUGCAAGGUGCAUGAAUGAUUUCGAAGUUAGAAAUGCCAUGGGGAAGAAGCAAGCAGUAUGUUAUCAGAAUCAUCAAUGGGUUCACUUGCCUCUGAUACUUCUUCACAAAGUGAAGGUAGUUCCUGCGCACGAUGAUCGUCCUGUUCAUCUUGGCGCUGUGGCAGGUUCCAGCUAUGAUUCUGCCCCUGAUGGCAACAGUUCCAGUGAAUGGGCACUUCUUGUCAAUGUAGGU
rnacentral:lncRNA from 1 species